rnacentral:rRNA from 1 species
AACGAACGCUGGCGGCAGGCUUAACACAUGCAAGUCGAACGCCCCGCAAGGGGAGUGGCAGACGGGUGAGUAACGCGUGGGAACAUACCCUUUUCUACGGAAUAGCUCUGGGAAACUGAAUUAAUACCGUAUACGCCCUACGGGGGAAAGAUUUAUCGGGGAAGGAUUGGCCCGCGUUGGAUUAGCUAGUUGGUGGGGUAAAGGCCUACCAAGGCGACGAUCCAUAGCUGGUCUGAGAGGAUGAUCAGCCACAUUGGGACUGAGACACGGCCCAAACUCCUACGGGAGGCAGCAGUGGGGAAUAUUGGACAAUGGGCGCAAGCCUGAUCCAGCCAUGCCGCGUGAGUGAUGAAGGCCUUAGGGUUGUAAAGCUCUUUCACCGAUGAAGAUAAUGACGGUAGUCGGAGAAGAAGCCCCGGCUAACUUCGUG